rnacentral:misc_RNA from 1 species
AACACUGUUAACCUGCGGUACCUGCGGAGGGAUCAUUAUAGUAUAUGGAAUCUCCAUUCUAUAAACCCACUCUGCGUAUCUUGUAACUGUUGCUUCCAUGGGACUUGGUUCCGCCACACCGGCUUCACGGCUGGUGAGCGCCCAUGGAAGGAGAAACAAAACUCUUCUUUGAAAUGUAGUCAGUCUGAACAAGUUUUUAUAAACGUUAAAACUUUUAACAAUGGAUCUCAGAUCGGAAGA